GACAGGUUCGGGUCAAUCAUAAAAAAGGGUUGAUUUCGUUUGGAUCGAAACGGGUCCGGGUCGGAACGGAUCCGGGUCAGCACGGUUUCGGUUCCGGUCGGGUCAGUAUCACUGGUGCCAAGAAUGAUUGCCAAAUCCCCUGGUGGGUGUGUUCAUUACAGUAGAGAACCAUGAAAAGCACUCGUACGUAUUGUUGAUCAGAUAUGGUGGGAGAGAUUACAGGGGGCAUUAGGUGACUACAUAACCACCUUAUAUAUCACAUU
rnacentral:lncRNA from 1 species